rnacentral:rRNA from 1 species
CCUACGGGAGGCAGCAGUGGGGAAUAUUGCACAAUGGGGGAAACCCUGAUGCAGCGACGCCGCGUGAGUGAAGAAGGAAUUCGUUACGUAAAGCUCUAUCAGCAGGGAAGAAAAUGACGGUACCUGAGCAAGAAGCCCCGGCGAACUACGUGGCAGCAGCCGCGGUAAUACGUAGGGGGCAAGCGUUAUCCGGAUUUACUGGGUGUAAAGGGAGCGUAGUCGGUGCGCCAAGUCUGGAGUGAAAUGCCGCGGCUUAACUGCGGAACUGCUUUGGAAACUGGCGAACUAGAGUGCGGGAGGGGUAAGCGGAAUGCCUGGUGUAGCGGUGAAAUGCGUAGAUAUUAGGAGGAACACCGGUGGCGAAGGCGGCUUGCUGGACCGUAACUGACGUUGAGGCUCGAAAGCGUGGGGAGCAAACAGGAUUAGAUACCCCAGUAGUC